UAGCCACCUACCCCCCACUUGCCCACUUGCCCACUUGCGCCGAACACCACCAUGCCACUGUCGGCCAUGGCCACCUGCAAGAAGCCAAGUAGAAAUAAACAAAUAGAAAAUAAACAUUUGUAAUCGGUUAUAAAAACUGAAAAUCUCACCAUUGAUAGGGGGAUUUUUUAUUUUUUGCUAUGAAACAAAAGAUUUUCUUUCAAUAUUAACAGAUUCAAUACAAGAACCAUUCGAAAAUAUAUAUACUAUCAGGGGCUCUAACACCAAAUCGGAGAAUCAAAUCUAAAACCUAAGGUGACUCUUUCUUUUUUUUUUCUUUACUGUUUUGAGUUUAUUUUCUACAUAAAAAUACUAAAAAAUAUUAAAACAUAAAAAUAUAUGCAUUAUUAAGCAAAAAAAAAGAAAAAAAAAAUAUUUUUUUUACCUUUUCCAGCCACCGCGUGCGGUGGCCGGCGCCGGCGCCGGCGCCGGCGAGCCUCCGGUGGCCGUCCGGUGACCGGCCCACCCCCCUGGCCGGAUUCCCCUUUCCCCCUCCCUUCUCUCUCCCUUCUCUCUUCUC
rnacentral:lncRNA from 1 species